ensembl:lncRNA
GACAGUAUAUUUGUUUAUUAUAUAUAUUAUAUUCCAUGUGUUGUUGUUUGUGUCACACUGCUUUGCUUUAUCUUGUCCAGGUUCCAGUUGUAAAUGAGAACUUGUUCUCAACUGACCUCCCUGGUGAAAUAAAGGUGUUCUCAACUAGCCUACCUGGUUAAAUAAAGGUGUUCUCAACUGGCCUACCUGGUUAAAUAAAGGUGUUCUCAACUGGCCUACCUGGUUAAAUAAAGGUGUUCUCAACUAGCCUACCUGGUUAAAUAAAGGUGUUCUCAACUAGCCUACCUGGUUAAAUAAAGGUGUUCUCAACUAGCCUACCUGGUUAAAUAAAGGUGUUCUCAACUGGCCUCCCUGGUUAAAUAAAGGUGUUCUCAACUAGCCUACCUGGUUAAAUAAAGGUGUUCUCAACUAGCCUACCUGGUUAAAUAAAGGUGUUCUCAACUAGCCUACCUGGUUAAAUAAAGGUGUUCUCAACUAGCCUACCUGGUUAAAUAAAGGUGUUCUCAAC